CUGCGAACUGAAUAAGUUAACUCAGUUUGUUUAAUGAGCUGGAAAGCUUCUAACAAGCCCUGCUUUUAAAUGUCUGGUCAAGAAUACAGGAAUAUUUCCCAAGCAUUAAAUCUACUACUUGCAGAGAAGAGGAAAUGUUCCCUUAGGGUAAAGAAUGAAGGUGGUGAGGGACAGAAAAGGAUACAGCCCUGUCAGGAACCUUAGCAAAGCACAGUGUUUUUCAGUGCAGCAUACAGGCGUCUCAGAAAUAUUAAUUACCUUUCCUGUCUCCAAGACGCACUCUGCACUAUUUGGGAGCAAUCCAGACUGAAACCAGCCCUCAGCCUAAUUAUUUCCUACUUUUGUCAGAGGAAGCUUUCAUCAACCAGUAUAUAAGAAGGAAACACCACAAUACUGUAUAAGCACCAGCAAGUCUUUGAAGGAAAUGAAUGGUAUAUUACAUAAAGGAAGAAAAGAUUCUUUCUGAUAAAACAGUUGAGAGACUUUAAUGUUCUUUAUCUCUUUCCAUACCAGAAACCAGACCUGCAAUGAAGGACUAGAUGUGAUUACACAGACUACUAGUACCAAACCAUAGUGCGAUCAUAAUACAGCCCUUGCUCAUGACAGCAUCCUUUUGAAUCACACCAGACCCAAGUACAGUGCUGUAUUUAAAAGACUGAGUAGAUUUACUCUUAGCUACAAUAAUAUUUAUAGCAUUUUCAUCUCUGCUUCCGAUUGCAUGCUACUGGGGCUUUCUUUAAAAACAGAGAAAUAAAAAUUGAGUACAAAGAGGUGCGUUAUUUUGAGAGAAGUUAUUUGAAAAUGUUGGUUUGGGGUCUAUGAAAAGUAAGAGCUGAAGUCUUAGUGACCCUAGUCACUGCACUCCUGAAAUAAAAAAUAAUAAUAAUAAAAAGAAAAUGACCGACAAGAGAGACAUCCUUUCAGAACAUAAAUCCUGCUAUGCCCCUCUUGCACCAACCCUGCAAAUUCUUGUGGUACAGUGACAGUUCCUUUCUUGUCUGAAGCAAAACCUGAACUGAAAGCUUCAAUAUCCAAAAGCACAGAUCAUUGUUCUUUGAAAUGAAAGGUCAAGUUAACAAGGCAAGAUCUACACAUCCCUCUGUGGACUGGCAAAGAAAUAAAAGCUGAA
rnacentral:lncRNA from 1 species